GCAACUUUCUCCUCCCCACAAUGCAUACUAACAUUUUUAAAAAAUAAUGGGGGUUUUUUUGUAUUGUAAUUUCAAAUUGAUGACUUUAGAAUCAACAGUAUAAAAUUAAAGCUUUAUGUAAUAUGUAUACAUCCUGUAAAUAUUCUUGAGUAGAAUUUUUUUUUCAACUAGAUGUUGCCUCCUUGUAAAAUGUCACUUUUUAGUCAGUUUGAAAGUUCUUUAUUAAUAAGAAUUCUUGGUAUUAUGAAUGUUUUGUGUGAUAUUAUUGAGUUUAGUUUUUUGUUGCUUUUUUAUGUCAAUAAACUUAAUUAUUUAG
rnacentral:sRNA from 1 species